GUUAAACUCGAUGUCCUAGUGAAGGUGAAUAAGUGUAAGGUUAAAUGAGAUAAGUUAAAUGGAAAAUUGUGUGUUCAAUAUAAUAAUAAGUGAAAUUUGUUUAUUAAGUUAAAAAAUUGAAUGCAAGUUUUAUUCGACUUAAAUUGAAGCCUAGAAAAUUUAGGUAAGGACCAGGAUUAGAUACCCUGUUACUCUAAUAGGAGCAAAUAAUGUAAGACUUGAGUAUUAGUAAUAAAUUAAUUUUAAAUUCAAAGAACCUGGCGGUACUUUAGUCUAGUUGGAGGAACCUGUUUUAUAAACGAUAAACCACGUAAAAUCUUUCUUAUUCUCGUAUAGUUAGUAUACCUUCAUUACAGAUAAUCUUGAUUGAUUGAUUAUUGUAAGCGGUUGAUAAACCAAGUAAAUUAGAUCAAGGUGCUGCAAAUGAAUAAGUAAAAAUGGGUUACAAUGGUUUUUAACGUUAAGCGGAUUAUAUUUAGGAUAAAUAUAUGAAGAUGGAUUCAAUUGUAAUUUUAACUUUAAUAAGGUAAAAUGGUAUUAGCUCUAAAGUGUGUACAUAUUGCCCGUCGCUUUCAUUAAGUUAAAUGAGAUAAGUCGUACAAAAGUA
rnacentral:rRNA from 1 species